rnacentral:rRNA from 1 species
AUUGAACGCUGGCGGCAGGCCUAACACAUGCAAGUCGAGCGGAGCGGCGGACGGGUGAGUAAUGCCUGGGAAUCUGCCUGGUAGUGGGGGAUAACGACCGGAAGCGGACGCUAAUACCGCAUACUCUCAGAUGAACCAAGGUCGGAUUAGCUAGUUGGUGGGGUAAAGGCUUACCAAGGCGACGAUCCGUAACUGGUCUGAGAGGAUGAUCAUCCACACUGGGACUGAGACACGGCCCAGACUCCUACGGGAGGCAGCAGUGGGGAAUAUUGGACAAUGGGCGCAAGCCUGAUGCAGCCAUGCCGCGUGUGUGAAGAAGGUCUUCGGGUUGUAAAGCACUUUAAGUUGGGAGGCGUUACCAACAGAAUAAGCACCGGCUAACUCCGUGCCAGCAGCCGCGGUAAUAC